rnacentral:rRNA from 1 species
UACGUAGGGAGCAAGCGUUAUCCGGAUUUAUUGGGCGUAAAGCGAGCGCAGGUGGUUUAUUAAGUCUGGUGUAAAAGGCAGUGGCUCAACCAUUGUAUGCAUUGGAAACUGGUAGACUUGAGUGCAGGAGAGGAGAGUGGAAUUCCAUGUGUAGCGGUGAAAUGCGUAGAUAUAUGGAGGAACACCGGUGGCGAAAGCGGCUCUCUGGCCUGUAACUGACACUGAGGCUCGAAAGCGUGGGGAGCAAACAGG